rnacentral:rRNA from 1 species
AGAGUUUGAUCAUGGCUCAGAUUGAACGCUGGCGGCAGGCCUAACACAUGCAAGUCGAACGGUAACAGGAAGCAGCUUGCUGCUUCGCUGACGAGUGGCGGACGGGUGAGUAAUGUCUGGGAAACUGCCUGAUGGAGGGGGAUAACUACUGGAAACGGUGGCUAAUACCGCAUAACGUCGCAAGACCAAAGAGGGGGACCUUCGGGCCUCUUGCCAUCAGAUGUGCCCAGAUGGGAUUAGCUUGUUGGUGAGGUAACGGCUCACCAAGGCGACGAUCCCUAGCUGGUCUGAGAGGAUGACCAGCCACACUGGAACUGAGACACGGUCCAGACUCCUACGGGAGGCAGCAGUGGGGAAUAUUGCACAAUGGGCGCAAGCCUGAUGCAGCCAUGCCGCGUGUAUGAAGAAGGCCUUCGGGUUGUAAAGUACUUUCAGCGGGGAGGAAGGUGUUGUGGUUAAUAACCGCAGCAAUUGACGUUACCCGCAGAAGAAGCACCGGCUAACUCCGUGCCAGCAGCCGCGGUAAUACGGAGGGUGCAAGCGUUAAUCGGAAUUACUGGGCGUAAAGCGCACGCAGGCGGUCUGUCAAGUCGGAUGUGAAAUCCCCGGGCUCAACCUGGGAACUGCAUUCGAAACUGGCAGGCUUGAGUCUUGUAGAGGGGGGUAGAAUUCCAGGUGUAGCGGUGAAAUGCGUAGAGAUCUGGAGGAAUACCGGUGGCGAAGGCGGCCCCCUGGACAAAGACUGACGCUCAGGUGCGAAAGCGUGGGGAGCAAACAGGAUUAGAUACCCUGGUAGUCCACGCCGUAAACGAUGUCUACUUGGAGGUUGUGCCCUUGAGGCGUGGCUUCCGGAGCUAACGCGUUAAGUAGACCGCCUGGGGAGUACGGCCGCAAGGUUAAAACUCAAAUGAAUUGACGGGGGCCCGCACAAGCGGUGGAGCAUGUGGUUUAAUUCGAUGCAACGCGAAGAACCUUACCUGGUCUUGACAUCCACAGAAGAAUCCAGAGAUGGAUUUGUGCCUUCGGGAACUGUGAGACAGGUGCUGCAUGGCUGUCGUCAGCUCGUGUUGUGAAAUGUUGGGUUAAGUCCCGCAACGAGCGCAACCCUUAUCCUUUGUUGCCAGCGGUCCGGCCGGGAACUCAAAGGAGACUGCCAGUGAUAAACUGGAGGAAGGUGGGGAUGACGUCAAGUCAUCAUGGCCCUUACGACCAGGGCUACACACGUGCUACAAUGGCGCAUACAAAGAGAAGCGACCUCGCGAGAGCAAGCGGACCUCAUAAAGUGCGUCGUAGUCCGGAUUGGAGUCUGCAACUCGACUCCAUGAAGUCGGAAUCGCUAGUAAUCGUGGAUCAGAAUGCCACGGUGAAUACGUUCCCGGGCCUUGUACACACCGCCCGUCACACCAUGGGAGUGGGUUGCAAAAGAAGUAGGUAGCUUAACCUUCGGGAGGGCGCUUACCACUUUGUGAUUCAUGACUGGGGUGAAGUCGUAACAAGGUAACCGUAGGGGAACCUGCGGUUGGAUCACCU